UCUAAGAUUAAGAAAAAAUUCUCCUAGAUUUUCUUCUUAUGCUUUUACGGUUUGAUGUUUCAGAUUUAUGUCUUUGAUCCAUUCAGAAUUAACUUUAUUAGAAGGUGUGGGUAAUGACCCUAUGUUCUCAUUCUUCCCUCUGGCUGGCUAACCACUGGUCUCACCACACAGCACUGCGUGAGAGGAUUUUAAAGUAGUGUGAGAAGUUCUAUAGCAGUGAGAGCAGGUGCAAAGGCACUCUGGAGGAUCCCAGUGAGGAAUUCUGACACCCUCCUUUGCCUGGGCUGUCUCUCUUUCCUCUUCCUUCCUGCCCCGACCUGGGCUGCUCUUGAUUUUUGUUGCUCUGUCUAAUUCCUGGAUGUUCCUACGGGGUCUCCUAUUCCCAGAGUGAACUGGAUUAGCCUUGCUGCUUGCUGUUGGAAGAAAAGAGUGAGUCGGUACACGCAUGUGUCUAUGUGGUGAGGCCUUGACAGAGCUGUAACUAAACUCAAGGUGCGCAUGAGGCUGGAUGAUUCCUGUUAUUUAACAUUCAAGCUUCUUGGGCCUUUGAGUAGAGGCUGACUUCUUGGCGAGGUGACGGAGAUGCUCUUGGAGAUUGAAGACUGCAUGUAUUUUUCAAAUCAUUUUGCUGUUGAUCUAACAUUUAUUGUACAAUGUUGUUUAGAAGUUGGUAUAAUAUGUACUUAAUGAGUAUGCUUGUAUUUCUUUGUGUAAAUGUAUUGUUUAUCAAUACAAGGUACUCGUGUUGUGGAUUUUUUAUUCUUUGCUUAGUCCUUAGACAAUAGGGACUCUGAAGUCAGUCUUAAAGCUGACCUUAUUUCUCUUGUGGCAGCAACUUUCUUAGGAAGGCAUGGAUGAUUUUUAAAAAAAUUACUUGGAAUAAAGCUUGGCAUAAAGCAUGAUAUCUAGAAAGCUGAAGCUGGCACCAGGCUUAGUUCACUCUUCUUUUCUCUUGGCACACCUCCUCCACCCCCUUCUUGAUCCAUGUGCAGUCUCUUAUCCCCCUGAGAUAUCCCCCUGCCCCUGAAUCUGGAACCUUCAACCCUCCUCACCUUCAUAGCUUCUACCCUCCGUCUUAUAAACACAUUCAAGCCUCUCAUCUUUACCAACAAAGAAGUAAACCAAUCCCUCUCAGCCUUUCCAAUCCCCCUUUGAACUAGUGCUUACUCUCUUAUCCUCCUUCUUAUUCAAGUUUCUUGAAAGAAUAGUCUCCUCUUGCUUUCACUAGCUCAUUCCUCAACCUGCUGUUGUCAGGCUCACCCGUGUCAUACCAUUAAUAUGCCUCUUGUUUGGGUCAACGAUGACAUCCUCUAGUUGCUACAUCCAUUGGAUAUUUUCCAGUCUCUACCCUAAUGGAACAUUCUCUGCUGGAUUUGUUCAUUAGGCACUGCUCAUUGCAUCCUUCUUCCCAAUGAUGACAUGUUCCUCUCUUUCUUUGACUAGUCUUUCUCUCUCAAAGUUGGUUCUUUCUUCCUCUUCCCAAUGCUUAAAUAUCAAGUGGUCCCCAAGGUUCUGGCCUGAACCAUUGUUUUUAUGGCUUCACAUACUCUUUGUGGGUGAUAUCGUGCACUCUUUGGGUACCAACUGCUGUAUAAUUGGAAACAACUCCUCUAUCUUUAUAUCCCAGCAGACCUCCACCCUGAUCCCUAGAUUAAAGAAUCCAUCCACUUCUUGUGACCCUACAGGUCCUCAAACGCAGAUGAUGACUGGACUCCUUACCUGCCUUCUCCGUUAGCUCCUCCUCCUCUAUUCUCCAUCUGAGUCAACAGCAUCACCCUUCACUCAGUUGCCAAGAAGGACCCCAGACCAGAGGCCUUAUUGCCUCUUCUCCUUUCUUCCUCCUUAUAUCCAAAGGAGCACCAGCUUCCAGCGAUUUCACUUUGAUCUGUCGUCUUCUCUGCCACAGUUCAGGUCUUCAGCCAUUGUCACCUGGAAUAUUUUUACUUGAUCACUUUGAUUCUGGUCAGACUCAUUUUUUGUAAAGUUCCCAGAGGAAUCUUUUAAAAAUGCACGUCUUACUAGGCCACUCCUCUUCUGUGGCUCCUUGUUGCUUGUUGGGAUAAGGCCAGUCUGUGGGCUGUACCAUAAGACCAUCUGAUCCGCCCUGCCUCCACCUCUACCCAUCUCUUGCUUCUCCUUGCCUGACACUUCUUUCGCAUUCCACAGUGCAUACAGUGGUGUUCCCUGGCCUCUGUUCCUUUGUUCAGGCUGUCCCCUCAGACCAUCCCCCUCUAUCUUUGCCUGAAGUGAUGUUUACUCUCCCCUAGGACAGCUCAGGCAUCACCCCCUGGGGAAAUUCUCGCUUUCUGUUUAGGUGGCCUUCAUAGGAGAUUCAGAAUACUCAGCACCUAGCUUUAUCAUGGCACCUACCCUUUUUUUUCUUCUAAAUAAUUAUUACUUAGGCAUCUCUCCCCCUACACUGGGCUAAAGGGCAAAGAUAGAUACUUUCAUUUUGUAUCUCCUGUACUGAAUUCAGAGCUUAAGACAUGUGUUAACUCAGUCAAUGCUGGUUGAAUUAAUCUUGAAUGAGUGAAUGAAUGAUUGAAAUUCAACAACUGUUGGUAUACAGAUAAACAUGACGUUGUUGACUCAGAAAAUAUCUCAGGAAGAAUUUUUUAUUAAGCCAUAUAUAAAUACAAAUUCACAUCCUUGCUUAUAUUUAUCAAGAAUCUGAGGCAAGAACCUUAGAGAAUUCUACAUUUUUCUGCCAUUCCCUUUUUCCAUUGGCCUGAAUUUCUUGUUUGCUGGAGACUGUUAAACAUACUUAUAUCCUCUUAUUGUGAUGCUACUGAAAGAUAGAUUGAGAGAGGAAUAUUGGCAAAUGUAAGUAGCACAUUGAUAUGGCUUCUUUAAAAUUUGCUUUCAAGGCUGUUCUAAGCCAUUUUGAUAAAAAAGUUAACUAUUUUUUUUAAACAUCCAGAAGUCAUAGGUAGCUUACCCCAGUACCAGGUGACAUUACUUGAGGGGAGGGACAUAGCAGUUGUGGCACCCUCAUUAACUUGUCUGUGGAGCAGUUGUCCUAUGGAGUGGCCCCCCUCUUGAAUUAGUAUGUUACUAGUAGAGUCUCUUAAGAGACCAGACUGCAAUAGGAGCACUGCAUGCCCAGUGGUUGAUAUACGGUCUUCAAUCAUUGCUCCAUAUUACCGAGCCUUCAUCCACACUCAGUCAGCUAGCACAGUCAGCCGCAUUAGGAAAUGAAGGCCAGCUUUUGUUCAGCAAUGCGUUUGAUAAAUUCAAUCUUCUAAACCUGGAGCUAGGUGAUGAUAUGGCUAGUUUGUGUUCAAAUGGAGAAUAAUUUGUUGUGAUUUUUCCUGUGCAGUGUCACUCGUGCUGAAUCUCAUUACCUGGUGGAGGUGAUUGCUCACCAAGAUCUCUGGCCUCCAUUCUCUCCUGAUGAGUCUGCCCACCCUUCCCGUUCUCCAUAUUUUACCGCAAUUUUCAGCUGAUAUCAGCAUGUAGCGUGUCCUGCUAACAUUUGUUCGCUUUCUCAUCGUACUGCACUGGCUGGGACUUCCAGAACACGGCUGAGCAGAAGUGAUGACUGUGAACAUCUUUUCCUUUCAAGAAGGCAUUUCAAUGUUACAAAGUAAGUUACAGCAAAUCCUACAGCUUCAAGGAAUUCUAUGAACAAGCUGAGGGAAGUUGGAAGUGGACCCUUCCCCACUCAAGCCUCUGCUGAGAACCCAGCCUUGUCUGAUACCUUGAUUAUAGCCUUGCAAGACUCGAAGCAGAGAACCCAUCUACUAACUCGUGUCUGGAUUUCUGCUCCAUGGAAACUGAGAUAAUAGGACUGAACGUAAAGCUGCAUUCCUGUUGCCGUGGUGUACCUCUAAGCCGCCUACUCUUCCGUGCUGGGCACCCCUCACAUUUUACUAUGCAUUUUUCUGAUCACAGACAUCGGGGUGGCUCCAACUCCCCUUUCCACAAAUGGUGCUGCAGUGACCAUCCUAAAGCGUGUCUCCUUAUGACAACGAUUCUUAACUGGGGAGGAUGUUGCACCUCCAGCGACAUUUGGCAAUGUCUGGGGACAUGCUUGCUUGUCACAGCUGGGGGAAGGUGCUGUGGGCAUCUAGUGGGUAGAGGCCCGGGAUGCUGCUAAACGUCCUGCAAUGCAGAGGAUGGCCCCACAACAAAGAAUUAUUCGGUCCCAAAUGUCACUAGUGCUGAGCGAAGUUGAGAAACUCUGCCUUAUGGACACGCGGGAGGAUUUCUUGGGACAGAUUCCCAGGAUCAGGCUUGCUGGCCACAGUGUGUGUGUACUUGAUUGGAGCAAGUCGUAGCAGACUGUUGCCCAGUGUGGCUGCACCCAUGUGUGUUCCCGCUGCAGCCCACGAGCCUUCACACCCACGUCCCUGCCCGUGCCAGGAUUACCCAGCCUUUGAAGUUUUGCUGUCUAAUGUGUGUAAAUUCAGAUUCAUUGUUGUUUUACUUUACAUUCCUCUGAUUAUUAAAGAGCUAGCCAACUUUUCAUUAUGGUGUAGUAACUUCUUGGGAGGCCAAAAAUAACACGGUUGAAAAGCUUGGAGCCUGCCGUUUUAUCUUUUAUAAAAUUUUCACCAAUUACUUGGUUUCUCUGAGCAUCAGUUUUCUUAUCUGUAAAAUCUGGAAUAAAAAU